UACGAGGUUCGCCGCCGCCACUGGUUCCCCACUCUCUAAUCCUAAUCCGAUCUAGAGGGAUGCACUAAAGCGACGGGAAGUCCAUCACCGCCACUACCGGAUCUCUCUCCUUCCCCACCGUCGUCACCACCUCACGACGGUAGCCGGAGGGAGCUCAUCGAUUACGGGAUAAGGUAACAAAUCUCCACAUCACACCGAACACAUCUAGCCUUGUCGAUCCACAGGAUCUAUCAUACCCAUGUUGAAGUGUCGGUCGACAUGGAGACAACUAAUGAAAAUCAAGGUGUGUCCAAAGGCCCGACCAUUCAACUUUGUAGUCAUCCUCAUCCUUCAAGCCCUGUGCCCCAUGUUGAUAGUACCUCUCCAUCAGCUGCCAUGGAAGACAUAGAAGUGGCUAUUGUAGGAGCAUCUUUCUAGUAUCAUCAUACCUCAUAUGUUUUGGCUAAACUUGUAACCAAUGAUGAGCCAGAGAAUCUGGAGAAGGUAAAAACCAAGCUGGAGCUUCGAGAGCUUUGUGCGCUUGACAUCAACGACUUAUAUCAACAAUAGGUGACCCGACUGCGUGAGAGCCGGGAUAUUUAAAUGAACUUGGUCAACACUUUGAGGACCUAAUAUGAGGUGUUUUUGAAUGGCACUGAAUCUGUGUCAGUCGCCUUGUAUAGACAUGAUAAGAAAGAGAAAAUGAUGAAAAAUGAUACGGAACUUGCGGCGGCUUGUCUCCAGGAUUCUUUAAUCCAGUCUGAUACUCAUAUGGAGAAACCUAAGGACAAGUUUGAUGAGAAAAAGGUCGGCUUAUUGGCGCGAGUAGAAGAGCCCGAAAAGAAACUUGGCUCAAUCAUUGCCGACUUGAACAAGCUGAAGAAACAUAUUACUCAAAUGACUCUUGCCAUCUUUGGUACAAAUCUUCAUAUUUCUAUUCUAAUAUUGCGGGUCAUCAAAUUUUGUCGGCUCAUAUUCAUGAUUGUAUUCUUUGUGAAGGGCGAAAAAGCCACAAUUUCUUGCCAGAGCCAAUAGUCAAACUGAAUGCAAUAUUUACAUAUGUGGAGCAGUUGUUCACAGGAUCAGCCUAUGCCAUCAUGGCGGUAAAAAAUCUUGAACAACCUCCUAAAAGACUCAAAGAUAUGCUGAAUCAACUGUCAACAAUAGCGCGAUGGGUUCAAGAAUUUGGAAGAUCGGCGGCUCGUCUUGGGGCGAAUUUGGCACUUGCUCGCGCAAAGGCAUAUUUGCCCGCGUUGGAUGUAGGGGCAGUGGAUGGUGAGUUCCCCGAAUAUAAAAUUGACAGCUCAGAAUUUUCACAUGAAGACUAUGUCAAUUGCAUGAUGAAGACCUGCCAAGUGUCGACUGUAAUUGUAGACAAGUUGGAUCUGGCGAGGUAUCAACCCGCCUAGUCAAUGGAGAACAAACAUACAACCCGAGAGAAGGAAAACCCCUUUGAACUUGUACCUCCUUGCCGUAAGCAACCUUUUGUUCCAGAUAUUGAUUCAUCCAUGAUUAUAUCUAAAUAUACAAAUUUUGAGGCUCUGACCACAAUCCAGUGGGUUCGAAGGGACCUCCAGAUCCAACAAGAUGACCCAACUUAGACGGGUCAAGAAGGCACUGGCGUAGAAGACCGGCGUAAGGAAACUAAAGCAGAAGACUCACGAGUCGGCCAACAGGAGUAGUCCUUAGGUAUGGAAAAAUGUUGAUAUUUUUGUGGCUUCUCAGAUAAGUCUGUAAUAGGAGUAGCAAAACUUGAUCCGUCUGUCGCGCCAUCGUGUGCGUAGUACUCUGUUGACCAUGUUAUUUUGUUGUGGCAAUUCAUCAAUGUGUUUGCUUU